UGUAGGGAAAUUUGUCUUUAAGUAAGAGUAAAUUACUCUUAAAGGAAAAUAAAAAGGAAUCCUAAAUAGUUUUCCCUUCAAGUCAAGUGUCUUG
rnacentral:pre_miRNA from 1 species